AGUGAACGCUGGCGGUAGGCCUAAUACAUGCAAGUCGAACGGCAGCACAGUAAGAGUUUGCUCUUACGGGUGGCGAGUGGCGGACGGGUGAGGAAUACAUCGGAAUCUACUUUUUCGUGGGGGAUUACGUAGGGCAGCUUACGCUAAUACCGCAUAUGUUCUACGGGUGAAAGCAGGGGAUAUUCGGACCUUUCGCGUUUGUUAUAGCCGAUGUCGGAUUAGCUUGUUGGCGGGGUAAAGGCCCACCAAGGCGACGAUCCGUAGCCGGUCUGAGAGGAUGAUCGGCCACACUGGAACUGAGACACGGUCCAGACUCCUACGGGAGGCAGCAGUGGGGAAUAUUGCACAAUGGGCGCAAGCCUGAUCCAGCCAUGCCGCGUGAGUGAAGAAGGCCUUCGGGUUGUAAAGCCCUUUUAUUAGGGAAGAAAAGCAGCAGAUGAAUACCCGGCUGUUCUGACGGUACCCAAAGAGAAAGCACCGGCUAACUUCGUG
rnacentral:rRNA from 1 species